GCCAGCAUAGUGUAGUGGUUUGAGUGUUGGACUACCACUAUAGAGACCUGGGUUUGUUUCCCAAUUCUGCCA